GCUGUGCUAUUGCUCCAACCCUAUCCAUUCCUUGGAAAUGUGAACAAAAUGAGUGAUAACCUCCACCACCGCCAUUCUUAAGGCUAUAUUGU